AUGAGGAGACAUCAGCAUGUCACUUUCCUUGACACCCAACUACUGCCCCCAGAAGAGAUUCUUUCCAGGCUAAGAAAGACCCCACUGCCUAUCCAGCAGUGGGGCUCAGUAAGCCAUGAAGUGAUUUACAAACAUUGGCUACCAUGGUCUAUUACAGGUAGAAGCAACAGUGAAAAUCACGACGGUGAGAUCAAGCAAAGCAGAUGGACUGAAGGACAAGGACGACUCUGCCCAGCAGAGGGAGGGAAAGCCCGGGCUGGACUCCACGUGGCCGGAGCUCCCAGUCUUAGCGCUGGAAGAGAUGCAGCUCUGGGCUGGCUCUGAUGCAGACUUGUCACAAAGGCUUGAAGUUGUUUCCAGCCACUGCUAU
rnacentral:lncRNA from 1 species